GGUUAGAAAGCGAACUUAUUGCCCCUAGUUUCGACCUAGGUCUUGGUAAAAAUUUACCUCCAACCA
rnacentral:tRNA from 1 species